CUCUUGUCAAUCCGCCUGUGAUUUAUGUCAGCUUUUGUUGCUGAUUACAAGGCGGGUGCGACUUGAAGGGGAAAAAGGGAGAGGGAGAGAGAGAUGGAAAGAGAGUAAGGAAGAGACCAAGGGGGAACCAGCGGAGGGGGAAAGAGGAGCAGCCUCCUGGGAUGGGGUGGGGGUGGCUCUAAGAAAAAGAAUGAAGGAGAGGAAAAGAGGCUCUCUGUGUCAGGAAAAUGAAUAGUGAGGGUAAAGUGCGCAGGUGCGCCCAGGGCGCUGAGAGGGUUGCACAGGCCUGGGGUGUGCGCUUUGCCCCCCUCGGCGUGGAAGAAAGAUACACCUUUCUACCUCUGGGACUUCAGUCUGUUGGGGCCGCGGAGGGAGGAGCUGCCCCGGGUACCCGAGACGGGCGGCGGCGACGUCUAAGAUGGGAGAUAUUUUUGUCCCCCGGAUAGUCCCUCGGGAGCGUGAGGAUGUCAGGCUGCCAGCCUGCCGCGGAGUCCACCCUUCGUAGUGCCCCGACCCGAAACUCAGACUUAUUUCUAAGAGCCACACCACCAAUGUAACUUUGAGUCCUGGAGGUCAAUGGUGGGCUACCUCCUCCCGGUCUUAAUUCUUUGACUUCCCUUCGAUCGUAGCUGGGGCUGAGAGGCUUCGAGGAGGCCUGGCCUUGGGUGUCCGGUGGAGAUACGUCUCAAACUGACUCAGGCCCUCUCCCCAGUCCUCUCCCACCCUGCGGUAUCCCCGCAGGUUUGGUAGCCGGGAUUUCUCUGGGCUGGCUACUCGCUCGAAUUUACAGGAACGCCGAGCUGGGACUGACCUGCGUUGGGAAAGCAGAGGGAAAGAACGGAGAGAGGGAGGGGUCGGUUGCUUGUAGGAACUUGGGUCUUCCAGGGAAGCGGAGCGGGACUGCCGCGUUCCCCUCGAUUUGCACCGUCACUCGGGCGGUUUGGAAGGAAGAGGGGAGGCGCUGUGCGUGCCUCUGUGUACCUGGAGCUGGGUGCACAAGUGUGUUGGUAAACUUCAUGGGAUUGUCACUUGACUAAAGAUAAUUUGGAGAAGA